GCGGGUGUGGUGAAAUUGGCAGACACGCCAGAUUUAGGUUCUGGUGCCGCGAGGCGUGGGGGUUCAAGUCCCUCCACCCGCACCA
rnacentral:tRNA from 1 species